ACGUAGGGGGCGAGCGUUAUCCGGAUUCAUUGGGCGUAAAGCGCGCGUAGGCGGCGCGCCAAGCGGGACCUCUAACCCCGGGGCUCAACCCCGGGCCGGGUCCCGGACUGGCGCGCUCGAGUGCGGUAGAGGCGAGUGGAAUUCCCGGUGUAGCGGUGGAAUGCGCAGAUAUCGGGAAGAACACCGAUGGCGAAGGCAGCUCGCUGGGCCGCCACUGACGCUGAGGCGCGAAAGCUGGGGGAGCGAACAG
rnacentral:rRNA from 1 species